UGACCUCGGAUCAGACGUGAUUACCCGCUGAAUUUAAGCAUAUUAUUAAGCGGAGGAAAAGAAACUAACAAGGAUUCCCCUAGUAACGGCGAGUGAACGGGGAAGAGCCCAACACCGAAUCCCUUGGCGCAAGUCAACGGGAAAUGUGGUGUUAAGGUAGCCCUUCGUGUCAGUCUAGGCGUCUCAAGUCCACCUGAUUGUGGCUCAAGCCCAGAGAGGGUGUAAGGCCCGUAGAGACGCUCCGACUGAUUCCUGGGGUUUACCUACGAGUCGGCUUGUUUGGGAAUGCAGGCCAAAGCGGGUGGUAAACUCCAUCCAAGGCUAAAUACUGGCACGAGUCCGAUAGCGGACAAGUACCGUGAGGGAAAGUUGAAAAGAACUUUGAAGAGAGAGUUCAAUAGUACGUGAAACCGCUUAGAGGCAAACGGAUGGUGCUCAUACUGGCCUGAGGAAUUCAACUGUGACGGUGGCUGGACGAGCUGGCGUUCCGAUCUCUCUUUUGGGACGGGCGUCGGUUUGGCUAUCAGCUCUGACAUGGUGCACUUUCCUUUGGUGCCUCCGCCACGACCGACGACACUGGCUACCCGCGGCUGGGGUAAGGUGACAAACUGCUUCGGCAAUUUGUGUUAUAGACCCCGGCGUCGGACAUGGUUUGGCCAGGACGUCGAGCUUGCGGCGCCCGCUCCUUGUGGGCUCGCAUGUUGGCUAGCUUGGCUGCGCCGAUGCUUGCACUGGACAACCAGUACAGGUGACGGUUGUGGUCUUGUCUCUAGUUGGCCUCUGCGAGUUUGGCGCCUAUAGUCUGUGGUGUACUUGUGGGUAGACUAUCCGACCCGUCUUGAAACACGGACCAAGGAGUCUAACAUGUGCGCGAGUCAUGGGGAUUCUACGAAACCCAAAGGCGCAGUGAAAGUAAAGGCCUGCUUCUCGUAGGCUGAGGUGGGAUCUCGUGCAUCGCGAUUGGCGAGCGCACCACCGGCCCGUCCUAUCUGUCUCUGUCAGUGGGGCGGCGCAAGAGCGUACACGUUGGGACCCGAAAGAUGGUGAACUAUGCUUGCGCAGCUCGAAGUCAGUGGAAACACUGAUGGAGGAGCGCAGCGUUUCUGACGUGCAAAUCGAUCGUCAAACGUGAGUAUAGGGGCGAAAGACUAAUCGAACCAUCUAGUAGCUGGUUCCCUCCGAAGUUUCCCUCAGGAUAGCUGGCACUCGGGAAACAGUUUUAUCCGGUAAAGCGAAUGAUUAGAGGCAUUGGGUCGAAACGACCUCGACCUAUUCU
rnacentral:ncRNA from 1 species